rnacentral:lncRNA from 1 species
CAUCGAGAAGGAGAAGCACCGCCAAUGCCGCGGCAUCGAGCUCAUCGCCUCCGAGAACUUCACCUCCUUCGCAGUCAUCGAGGCCCUCGGCAGCGCCCUCACCAACAAAUACUCCGAGGGCAUGCCCGGCAACCGCUACUACGGCGGCAACGAAUUCAUCGACCAGAUCGAAAACCUCUGCCGCUCACGCGCCCUCCAGGCCUUCCACCUCGACGCCCAAUCCUGGGGCGUCAAUGUGCAGCCCUACUCCGGCUCCCCUGCCAACUUCGCCGCCUACACCGCCGUCCUCAACCCCCACGACCGCAUCAUGGGGCUGGAUCUCCCCUCCGGCGGCCACCUCACCCACGGCUACUACACCUCCGGCGGCAAGAAGAUCUCCGCCACCUCCAUUUACUUCGAGAGCCUCCCUUACAAAGUAAACUCCACCACCGGCUACAUCGACUACGACCGCUUGGAGGAAAAAGCCCUAGACUUCAGGCCCAAAUUGAUAAUCUGCGGUGGCAGCGCUUACCCUCGCGAUUGGGACUACAAACGCUUCAGGGAAAUUGCGGAUAAGUGCGGGGCAUUGCUUCUCUGCGACAUGGCGCACACUAGCGGCCUUGUGGCCGCGCAGGAAGUGAACAGCCCCUUCGAGUAUUGCGACAUUGUGACCACCACCACGCAUAAGAGCUUGCGGGGUCCACGGGCGGGGAUGAUCUUUUACCGGAAGGGCCCGAAGCCGCCGAAGAAG